GAUGAAUGCUGGCGGCGUGCCUAAUACAUGCAAGUCGUGCGGCAGCGCGAGUAGUUUACUACUUGGCGGCGAGCGGCGGACGGCUGAGUAACGCGUGGGAACGUGCCCCAAAGUGAGGGAUAAGCCCGAGAAAUCGGGUCUAAUACCGCAUAUGGUCUUCGGAUUAAAGCUUCGGCGCUUUGGGAGCGGCCCGCGUACGAUUAGAUUGUUGGUGAGGUAAUGGCUCACCAAGUCGACGAUCGUUAGCUGGUCUGAGAGGAUGAUCAGCCAGACUGGAACUGAGACACGGUCCAGACUCCUACGGGAGGCAGCAGUAAGGAAUCUUCCACAAUGGGGGCAACCCUGAUGGAGCAACGCCGCGUGCAGGAUGAAGGCCCUCGGGUCGUAAACUGCUUUUAUGAGUGAAGAAUAUGACGGUAACUCAUGAAUAAGCACCGGCUAACUACGUGCCAGCAGCCGCGGUCAUACGUAGGGUGCAAGCAUUAUCCGGAGUGACUGGGCGUAAAGAGUUGCGUAGGCGGUUAGUAAAGCGAAUAGUGAAACCUGGUGGCUCAACCAUACAGACUAUUAUUCGAACUCACUAACUCGAGAGUGGUAGAGGUAACUGGAAUUUCUUGUGUAGGAGUGAAAUCCGUAGAUAUAAGAAGGAACACCAAUGGCGUAGGCAGGUUACUGGACCAUUUCUGACGCUAAGGCACGAAAGCGUGGGAGCGAACGGGAUUAGAUACCCCGGUAGUCCACGCCGUAAACGAUGGAUACUAGCUGUUGGAGGUAUCGACCCCUUCAGUAGCGAAGCUAACGCGUUAAGUAUCCCGCCUGUGGAGUACGGCCGCAAGGCUAAAACAUAAAGGAAUUGACGGGGAUCAGCACAAGCGGUGGAUCGUGUUCUUUAAUUCGAUGAUAAACGAAGAACCUUACCAGGGCUUGACAUCCAGGGAAGCACUACGAAAGUAGCGUGUGCCUUUUGGAACCCUGUGACAGUGCUGCAUGGCUGUCGUCAGCUCGUGUCGUGAGAUGUUGGGUUAAGUCCCGCACGAGCGCACCCCUAUCCUUAGUGCAGCAUUUGGUUGGCACUCUAAGAGACUGCCGGUGACAACCGGAGAAUGUGG
rnacentral:rRNA from 1 species